rnacentral:rRNA from 1 species
AGCGGCCGCGGUAAUUCCAGCUCCAAUAGCGUAUAUUAAAGUUGUUGCAGUUAAAAAGCUCGUAGUUGAAUUUCGGGAUCAAAUUGUCGGUCGUGCCUCGGUACGUACUGGCGUUAUUGGUUCCUCCCUUCUGAAGAACCGCGAUGUCAUUAAUUUGGUGUCGCGGGGAAUCAGGACUGUUACUUUGAAAAAAUUAGAGUGUUUAAAGCAGGCUCGCGCUUGAAUACAUUAGCAUGGAAUAAUGAAAUAGGACGUUUGAUUCUAUUUUGUGGUUUCUAGGAUCGACGUAAUGAUUAAUAGGGAUAGUUGGGGGCAUUAGUAUUCAAUUGUCAGAGGUGAAAUUCUUGGAUUUAUUGAAGACUAACUACUGCGAAAGCAUUUGCCAAGGAUGUUUUCAUUAAUCAAGAACGAAAGUUAGGGGAUCGAAGACGAUCAGAUACCGUCGUAGUCUUAACCAUAAACUAUGCCGACUAGGGAUCGGAUGAUGUUAAUUUUUUAAUG